UCCACGGAGCAUCCUUAUCGGUCUUG
rnacentral:miRNA from 1 species